rnacentral:rRNA from 1 species
GGAGUUAGCCGGUGCUUCUUCUGUGAGUGAUGUCCUUCCUGCCGGCUAUUAACCCGCAGGCCUUCUUCCUCACUGAAAGUGCUUUACAACCCGAAGGCCUUCUUCACACACGCGGCAUGGGCUGGAUCAGGGUUGCCCCCAUUGUCCGAAUAUUCCCCACUGCUGCCUCCCGUAGGAGUUCUGGGCCGUGUCUCAGUCCCAGUGUGGCUGAUCAUCCUCUCAGACCAGCUACGGAUCGUCGCCUUGGUGAGCCGUUACCUCACCAACCAGCUAAUCCGACAUAGGCUCAUCCGAUAGCGCGAGGCCCGAAGGUCCCCCGCUUUCCCCCGUAGGGCGUAUGCGGUAUUAGCCUGGGUUUCCCCAGGUUAUCCCCCACUACCGGGCAGAUUCCUAUGCAUUACUCACCCGUCCGCCGCUCGCCACCAGGGAGCAAGCUCCCCGUGCUGCCGCUCGACUUGCAUGUGUUAGGCCUGCCGCCAGCGUUCAAUCUGAGCCAGGAUCAAAACUCUGA